AAACAUUUAUCCUAUCGUGCUACUCUGCAGUGGGGCUCUUGGUGCCAUCCUCCUGAUUGUCCUGGUUAGUUGCUGCAUCCAUUGGAAAUUGAAGAGACGUAGAAAUACCAAAGGCAAAGACAACAGACAAACCCUAUGACUAUGAUGUUUGAAAAUCUCAACCACACCAAUCAUCAGAAGUGGACACACACCAAAGGACUCUUAAAAACCACUCCCAAACUGGGUUUUCACCAUCUUAAGAAAGUUUUUUCUCUGGAUUGAUAGAAAUACCUGGAUCUAAUUGUGUUAGUGCCUAAACCAUGGUAAACCAUCAGUAUCCUUAAAAGUUAGAAGUAGCAACUAGAACAUUGUAGUGUAAAUACUGUUUACUGUUUAACCAAAAUGGAUUAAAUGUAACAUUUUAAUACAUUCUUUUCAGUUCUGUUGGCUUAUAAACUCUUCAUAACCAUAUAGCAUGCUUCUGUUUAUUCCAUCUAACAUCCAAUAGUUACACUUUACUGGGCUGCUUUAUUUAAUCAAGAAACUUUGUUUGUUGCAUCUCAAACGACAAACUUUUAACCUUUGCCACACAAACUCAGUUUCAGGAAUCUUCAAGAUAGUUUCCAUCCCAGAUCUGCAAUCCUAUUUAAGUCUGACCUUGAUGGUAGAAUUAAUGAAUUAGAUUAAAUCCAACAUGGUUCUAUUCUACUCUGGUUUACCCUUGCCCCAACCAGCUGCUGAGCUUCACUGGUUGGUCCAAAGUUUAAAGGUAGUGAAACUAAGUUGUGCACAUCCUCAAAACCCCUUAUAGUAACUCACAUGAACUGUUUUAUCUAUAAUCAGACACUGAGCUGAGACCUAAACAUUAGCUUAUUUUUCUUCACACCUUUUCUCUAGUUUAUUGAUUCUUAACUUGUCCUAUAUCACCUCAAAUCAGCAUACUGUUGCCCUUUAACAUCAAAUGUUGUAAAUAGUGUUUAUCUUGUUCCAGAAUGUUUCCUGUUAUGAAAGUUUAACUUUAGUAGGGCACAGAGUUGGAGGCAAUUUUUUAGCCCUGGUCACAAAAAAUAUGUCUUACAAAAAACACAGAAAGCCUUUCUGAUUUUUAGAAAUUGCAUAUAUUAACAAAGCAAUCAGUAGAACUAAAACAUAACUCUUUUGUUGUGGUUUAAUUCCUCAGCAAACACAGGCCAUCGUCUGUACUGUGGUGGUUUUCCUCUCCUGAUUUUGCAGUUGAGAAAGUGAAUAGAUUCACUAGCUACGUUUUUAUGUUCAAUUUUAGUUUAGAUGUUGACUUUUUUAACAAUCACCUGGAUUUUCAACCUGAUUUUCUCAUCAUCAGCAUGUUCCUUAAGGCUCGUAAUGAAAAAAUGUAUUCUAUUAGUAGUUCGUUUAUCAUAAAUUAGGAGUUUUAGACCAAUGAUUUCUAAAACCCAUGUGUUUCCAAAGACUAGUUAUGCAAUGGGAUUGGAAAAGAUCAGGCUUUGUGAAUAUGUUUGAUAGUUUCUCCCACUGCACAUUGAAUGGUGAAGAGUUAUUGUGAACCUACAAUAAUUAGAAUAAUUUUGAAUGUGAAACAUCCAGACAGUGCGUGAGAGAAACAAGAGAACAAAAUAAAUUGGAAAAAGAAAAUAAAAAUGUCAUGUGUGUUGACACGUUUACUUUGUUUCACUUCUGUCAGCUCAUGUCAAAAUAACCUCAAGCUUCCUUUUAUCAUUUGUUGUGACGAAGUCAUGGAGUUUUCGAUAUGUACCCUUUUAGCCCACAGUUUGCUUAAUUUCUGUCUAUACUGUUAUAGGUUGAGUCAGCCUGAGGUAAUUUUUUUAAUUUUUGUAAAUUUUUGGUGUACAGUAUGGUUAAUUUUCUUUCUGUUUCAUUUUGAUAUCAUUGUCACUUGUUUAUUUUAGUUUAUUUUAAUUUCUGUCUUCUGUCCUUGUAUGAUUGGGAGUGUUGGGAAGUAAAAAAGUGGCAAAUA